rnacentral:rRNA from 1 species
UGGGGAAUAUUGGACAAUGGGCGAAAGCCUGAUCCAGCCAUGCCGCGUGUGUGAAGAAGGUCUUCGGAUUGUAAAGCACUUUAAGUUGGGAGGAAGGGCAGUUACCUAAUACGUGAUUUUUUUGACGUUACCGACAGAAUAAGCACCGGCUAACUCUGUGCCAGCAGCCGCGGUAAUACAGAGGGUGCAAGCGUUAAUCGGAAUUACUGGGCGUAAAGCGCGCGUAGGUGGUUAGUUAAGUUGGAUGUGAAAUCCCCGGGCUCAACCUGGGAACUGCAUUCAAAACUGACGGAAUAGAGUAUGGUAGGGGGUAGUGGAAUUUCCUGUGUAGCGGUGAAAUGCGUAGAUAUAGGAAGGAAAACCAGUGGCGAAGGCAGUCCCCUGGACCUGUACUGACGCUCAUGCACGAAAGCGUGGGGAGCAAACA